GAAAUGCGAUAAGUAAUGUGAAUUGCAGAAUUCAGUGAAUCAUCGAAUCUUUGAACGCACCUUGCGCUCCUUGGUAUUCCUUGGAGCAUGCCUGUUUGAGUAUCAUGAAAUCUUCAAAGUAAAUCUUUUGUUAACUCAAUUGGUUUCUACUUUGGUAUUGGAGGUCUUUGCAGCUUCACACCUGCUCCUCUUUGUUCAUUAGCUGGAUCUCAGUGUUAUGCUUGGUUCCACUCGGCGUGAUAAGUUAUCUAUCGCUGAGGACACUGUAAAAGGUGGCCAAGGUAAAUGCAGAUGAACCGCUUCUAAUAGUCCAUUGACUUGGACAAUACUUUUAUGAUCUGAGAUCAAAUCAGGUAGGACUACCCGCUGAACUUAAGC
rnacentral:misc_RNA from 1 species